rnacentral:rRNA from 1 species
UACAGGGGGGGCAAGCGUUGUUCGGAAUUACUGGGCGUAAAGGGCCAGUAGGCGGCCAACUAAGUCCGACGUGAAAUCCCCAGGCUUAACCUGGGAACUGCGUCGGAUACUGGAUGGCUUGAAUUCGGGAGAGGGAUGCAGAAUUCCAGGUGUAGCGGUGAAAUGCGUAGAUAUUCGGCGGAACACCAGUGGCGAAGGCGACUCACUGGCCCGAUACUGACGCUGAGGCGCGAAAGCGUGGGGAGCAAACAGG